rnacentral:rRNA from 1 species
GCUGACUAGUGGCGCACGGGUGCGUAACGCGUAUACAUCUACCUCUUGCUGAGGGAUAGCCCAGAGAAAUUUGGAUUAAUACCUCAUGGUAUUAUAGAUAGGCAUCUAUUUAUAAUUAAAGGUUACGGCGAGAGAUGAGUAUGCGUCCCAUUAGCUAGUUGGCGAGGUAACGGCUCACCAAGGCAACGAUGGGUAGGGGUCCUGAGAGGGAGAUCCCCCACACUGGUACUGAGACACGGACCAGACUCCUACGGGAGGCAGCAGUGAGGAAUAUUGGACAAUGGGCGGGAGCCUGAUCCAGCCAUGCCGCGUGCAGGAAGACUGCCCUAUGGGUUGUAAACUGCUUUUAUACAGGAAGAAUAAGCCUUACGUGUAAGGUGAUGACGGUACUGUAAGAAUAAGGACCGGCUAACUCCGUGCCAGCAGCCGCGGUAAUACGGAGGGUCCGAGCGUUAUCCGGAAUUAUUGGGUUUAAAGGGUCCGUAGGCGGAUGAUUAAGUCAGGGGUGAAAGUUUGCAGCUCAACUGUAAAAUUGCCUUUGAUACUGGUUAUCUUGAGUUGUAUUGAAGUAGGCGGAAUAUGUAGUGUAGCGGUGAAAUGCAUAGAUUUACAUAGAACACCAAUUGCGAAGGCAGCUUACUAAGUACUAACUGACGCUGAUGGACGAAAGCGUGGGUAGCGAACAGGGAUUAGAUAACCCUGGUAGUCCACGCCCGUAAACGAU